UUUGGCAAUGCAAAUCAAAUCAAGUAAGGAGCUAGUUUAAUUAUUUUAUUAAAAAUAGAAUCAGGAAUUGAUUUCAUUCAAUUAUUUGAUAAAAAAUCCAGCGAGAGUCCUCUCCGUAUGUGAGAGCAACAACAAAGUUCGGUUUUCUCGUUUAGCCGCAGGCCCUAAUUUCGAUUCCUUUUUCCUCUUUAGUUUUUGAUAAUUAUUU